CGGCGGACGGGUGAGUAACACGUGGGCAACCUGCCUGUAAGACUGGGAUAACUUCGGGAAACCGGAGCUAAUACCGGAUAAUAUAAGGAACCUCCUGGUUCUUUAUUGAAAGAUGGUUUCGGCUAUCACUUACAGAUGGGCCCGCGGCGCAUUAGCUAGUUGGUGAGGUAACGGCUCACCAAGGCGACGAUGCGUAGCCGACCUGAGAGGGUGAUCGGCCACACUGGGACUGAGACACGGCCCAGACUCCUACGGGAGGCAGCAGUAGGGAAUCUUCCACAAUGGACGAAAGUCUGAUGGAGCAACGCCGCGUGAGCGAUGAAGGCCUUCGGGUCGUAAAGCUCUGUUGUUAGGGAAGAACAAGUGCGAGAGUAACUGCUCGCACCUUGACGGUACCUAACCAGAAAGCCACGGCUAACUACGUGCCAGCAGCCGCGGUAAUACGUAGGUGGCAAGCGUUGUCCGGAAUUAUUGGGCGUAAAGCGCGCGCAGGUGGUCCUUUAAGUCUGAUGUGAAAGCCCACGGCUCAACCGUGGAGGGUCAUUGGAAA
rnacentral:rRNA from 1 species